GUUUCUUAGGGUCAUUGUCCAUUAUUGGGUCAUUGUCCAUCACUGCUGCCACUACUCCUUUGGUUCUUGGUCAUUGCUCUCACAAACGUCUCCUCCCGAAGUAGUUUUCUUCUGCCUUUGUUAUUAUUUAUAUUUUCAGUGUUGGCAUCUCUACCAAGCUGCGGAAGCAGAUAGGUGCGCAUGAGCAGCUUGUGGACGAAGCCAAUGUCUAAAAUGACGAAUCUCCCAAUAAAGUGAUGCAGGAUGACCAUAUUGUGAACUAAUCAGCAAAAUGAGGCCAAGAACCCGAUUGCGUCGUUGCUGGUUGGACAAAUCCUUGGUGAGCUGGUUGUUUGCAACACACGAGACAAUCAAGAAGCUACGCAAUUGUCAUACUGUGCAGUCAGAUAUAUGAAUUCUUAUUCAAAUCAAAUACGAACUGCAACAACUGCUCGACACCUAAGAGGAAAAGAUGGCACAAGCGAGUUAUGAAAGCAGCACUUGCAGGCAUUGACGAGUUGACACAAAGACCUACAUUGGCUUGAAGUCAGAGCAACGCCUUUAGACUAUGAAAGACAAUUUCUGAUAACCUUCUAUUGAUGUCUCAUAAUCAUUAUGCGUAUGUACUUGCUGAAUAUGUUGUGUCGCGUUUCUAUUAGACUACGUUAUGCCUAAGACUUAAGAUAUCUAUGUGAAGUGUGAAGUUUAUCGACAAGACAUUUGAAUGGUAGUUAUGGAUCCA